rnacentral:rRNA from 1 species
UACAGAGGGUGCAAGCGUUAAUCGGAAUUACUGGGCGUAAAGCGCGCGCAGGCGGUCCUUUAAGUCUGAUGUGAAAGCCCACGGCUCAACCGUGGAAGGUCAUUGGAAACUGGGGGACUUGAGUGCAGAAGAGGAAAGUGGAAUUCCAAGUGUAGCGGUGGAAUGCGUAGAGAUUUGGAGGAACACCAGUGGCGAAGGCGACUUUCUGGUCUGUAACUGACGCUGAGGCGCGAAAGCGUGGGGAGCAAACAGG